rnacentral:tRNA from 1 species
GGAGAGGUGGCUGAGUGGUUGAAAGCGGCGGUCUCGAAAACCGUUGGGGGUUUACGCCCUCCGCAGGUUCGAAUCCUGUCCUCUCCGCCA